GCCAUCCAUUGCUUGAUAUUCCUGGUUGUGGGUUGGGUUACAUGCCACAAGAUACAGCUUUAAAUGACAAUUUGACCAUUUCUGAGAUUAUCAACUAUUUUGGUGCUUUGUAUAGGAUCCCAAACAAAGAGUGUAAAGCCAAAGCAAAAGUGUUGUGUGAACGCUUAGGCCUUCCACAAGAGUCUCGAUCCAUAGGUCAACUAAGUGGUGGACAACAACGUAGAGUUUCAUUCAUCUGCACUCUUAUCCAUAAACCAAGGUUAAUGAUUCUCGAUGAGCCAACAGUUGGUUGCGAUCCAAUAGUUAUUGAAGUCAUGUGGCGUGUAUCCUUGAAAUAGCUCGAUCCUAUGGAACAACAGUUAUUGUUAAGGUAUCCAUAUCUCGCUAAGGCUUUGAAUGCAUCUGCUUGGCGUAUUAGUCGUCAUGUCCUUUACCAUCCGUUCACCAUUCUUCAUAGCUCAGUCGCCCAUCGUGAAUGUCGACCCGAUAGCUGAGCCUGAACUUGAAGAAGAUCAAUACAAUUCUCAAAAUUACUUCAUCCAAGUGUUCACGAUGGACUGGUCCUUCUUUGUCUUCCUUUAUUUGUCAAUUUCGUAAUAAACUAUGGAAUAGUCCUGAUAAAAACUUGAACAUUUAAGUUAAGAUUUGAGACUUUGUGGGUUUGUAGGAGUAUAAAAACUGAGUCCAUUAACGGCAUUGCAAAUUUCUUCGAUCGACAUUUUUGUGGGAAUCGAGGUCAAAGUUGAAACUUGGAUCAUCCUUUGUACAGUUACGAAAACAGAUUUUUUAUGGAAUUCAUUUAAUUCGUCAACUUUGUCUAACCUCCACUUUCCAGGAACGUGAAACUCUCUUCAUUUAUUUUACAUUUAUUUCAUUUCAAGAAAGGAUCCAUCUCAAUAUGAAAAGAAUCAAAAGAAUGUAACUCAAAUUAUAAAUUACAGUUUUGUAAACCAAUGGUGAUUCCAAUCCAUCGCCAUGGACCAUGACACGAAUCAUUGCCCCAUUAUGGUGCUUAUUUCGAAAUACCCGUGUUAAAGACUUCAUAAAGUAUGGCAAUGUGUCGGCUGAAAUAUUACCAGCGCCAUGAAAAUAAGGAAACUUACAGCGACAACUAACUCAAUGUACCUGCUCUUAUUAACAAGCACAACAAAAUGUCACUCUCUAAAAAUAGCUUAACGAUUUUAAACAUCACUUACCGUGGCCAUAACCAUUGUUCAUUUGCAUUUAGGUGUUUCUCCAUGACUUUGGAAAAGUUCCCAUAAUUUCAGACAAAAUAUUGAGCCAAAUUCGUAGAACCAGUAACUGUUCUCAAAACGUUCCGACAGUGUGCAAGUAAUCAGAAUAUUAAAGAGUAAAGGUUUACAAAAAUUUCCAUUGUUUAUUGGUUAUAAUUGGAAAAAGUCAAAAAUAUUAAAAAUAUGUAUAAUGUGUUA